rnacentral:rRNA from 12 species
AGAAAUUUCCAUUACCUAAGUAGCGGCGAGCGAAAGGGUAAGAGCCUAAACUGAAUGUACGUGAUAGGUGCUGGCCGUUGUGCAUUCGGGGUAGUGGGAGUUAGUGUUGUGGGUCAGUGACCACAGUAAGAGUUACCAAGGUUAUGUUUAGAUGAAGUGCUUGGAAAGGUACACCACAGAGGGUGAAAGUCCCGUAAUCGAAAAGCAUGGCUCUCUUAUGCUAACCACCCGAGUAGUACCGGACACGUGAAACCCGGUGUGAAUCAGGGAGGACCACCUCCUAAGGCUAAAUAUUCCCAGACGACCGAUAGUGAAGAAGUAAGGCGACUGAAAAAUGAAAAGCACCCCGUUGAGGGGAGUGAAAUAGAACCUGAAACCAUAUACUUA